GACGAACGCUGGCGGCGUGCCUAAUACAUGCAAGUCGAACGGGGUUGCACGGCGGAAGCCUUCGGGUGGAAGCUGUGCAGCCUAGUGGCGGACGGGUGAGUAACGCGUGGGCAACCUGCCCUCCAGCCCGGGAUAACUUCCGGAAACGGGAGCUAAUCCCGGAUACGGAGCAAAGGACGCAUGUUUUUUGCUCGAAAGCUUCGGCGCCGGAGGAUGGGCCCGCGUCCCAUUAGCUAGUUGGUGAGGUAACGGCUCACCAAGGCGACGAUGGGUAGCCGGCCUGAGAGGGUGAUCGGCCACACUGGGACUGAGACACGGCCCAGACUCCUACGGGAGGCAGCAGUAGGGAAUCUUGCGCAAUGGGCGAAAGCCUGACGCAGCGACGCCGCGUGAGGGAAGAAGGCCUUCGGUCGUAACCUCUGUCCUUGGGACGGAUGAUGACGGUACCCAAGGAGGAAGCCCGGCCUACUACGUG
rnacentral:rRNA from 1 species